CAGAUCCCUGUGAAGAGUGGUGGUCCCCAUGGGGCAGGGGUCCUCGGUGAGUGGCUGACCUCCUCCCCGCCCCCACCCUGGGAGGCUCCUGCGGGACCUGUUGGCAGCCCCCACCCCUCCAGAUGCCCAGCUGGUGGGGAGGGCAGGUGAUAAGGGCUGGGUGGGGCAGGGACCUGCUGGAGCCACUUGCUCCCUCCUCCCAGGGCUGCACCUGGAGGGCCCCUUCAUCAGCCGGGAGAAGCGGGGCGCGCACCCCGAGGCCCACCUCCGCUCCUUCGAGGCCGAUGCCUUCCAGGACUUGCUGGCCACCUACGGGCCCCUGGACAAUGUCCGCAUCGUGACGCUGGCCCCAGAGUUGGGCCGUAGCCACGAAGUGAUCCGGGCGCUGACGGCCCGUGGCAUCUGCGUGUCCCUAGGGCACUCAGUGGCUGACCUGCGGGCGGCAGAGGAUGCUGUGUGGAGCGGAGCCACCUUCAUCACCCACCUCUUCAACGCCAUGCUGCCUUUCCACCACCGCGACCCAGGCAUCGUGGGGCUCCUGACCAGCGACCGGCUGCCCGCAGGCCGCUGCAUCUUCUAUGGGAUGAUUGCAGAUGGCACGCACACCAACCCCGCCGCCCUGCGGAUCGCCCACCGUGCCCAUCCCCAGGGGCUGGUGCUGGUCACCGAUGCCAUCCCUGCCUUGGGCCUGGGCAACGGCCGGCACACGCUGGGACAGCAGGAAGUGGAAGUGGACGGUCUGACGGCCUACGUGGCAGGCACCAAGACGCUGAGUGGCAGCAUAGCCCCAAUGGACGUCUGUGUCCGGCACUUCCUGCAGGCCACAGGUCAGUGAGCAGCACGGGUGCGGGUUUAGGUGGUCUGUGAGUGGUGGGUCCCCAAGGGGCUGGACCGGGUGCCCGGACUGUAGCCCAAGCUCUGCCCACAGGAGCUCCUGGGCAUUGGGUACUUGGUGACUCAGGCCCAGGGUGACAGGCAGACCAGCAGGGUCCUUGUUAGCCUGCUGCAGAGUCCCUGAGACAGGGAGUGCUGGUGUGGUUGGGGGCUGUUGGCAAAGCCAUGUGGGCUUGGGGACUGUCACCUAGCUGUGUCCCCCAAGCAGGCUGCAGCAUGGAGUCGGCCCUGGAGGCUGCAUCCCUGCACCCCGCCCAGUUGCUGGGGCUGGAGAAGAGUAAGGGGACCCUGGACUUUGGUGCUGACGCAGACUUCGUGGUGCUCGACGACUCCCUUCACGUCCAGGCCACCUACAUCUCGGGUGAGCUGGUGUGGCAGGCGGACGCAGCUAGGCAGUGACAAGGACCUCGGCUGAGAGGACACCUGGCCGCAGCGGGAUGCCAUCAGGGCCGGGUGGUUGGGGAGCUGGUCUCCAGGGAGUGAGUCGGGAGCCCUGCUGGAUUGAUGCCCAGGGCCUGUGCGGCCGCCCUGGAGGCGGUGGCUGGGAUAAACGUGCACCCAGCAGGACUCGCCUUGGCUCCGGGUUUUGCUUGUGCUCACAUGUGGCACCAUCCUUGGUUGCCCUCCUGGAGAAGGCAUUCACGGCCUGGGGUGGGAUGGCUGGGCUGUAGUUUAGCCUGGGCCUUGGGCCCCAGUGGGGGACAGGGCCUGUCUGCAUGAAGUGGACCGGAGACCUGCAGACCCCAGGAAAGUGUCACUAUGGGAGGGAGGGGCAGGCAGUCAGUGGCUGGUGCCAUGGGGUGAAGCCACCAUGGGCUGGGGGUGAAGAGCCGGCAGGAAGGGGACCAGUCACAGGGAGUGUGGACAGUCAGGGGUUUGCUUUCUGCUCCUGAGUUGGGGUGUGCAGCGUGGAGCCCACAGCCUGGUUCUGGGCCAGGGCACAGUGCCAGGGGCUCCGCUCUGACCUCCAGGAGGGAGACUGGGCCCGGGACCCCUGUUUUCUGCUCCCUGGACUGCCUAGCCCUGAGUGCCACGGAUGACCAGCGUUCUGUUUUCUCUUCUCAAUAACCCUAUCUCUUCACACAUCCCCAGGCCCAGUGCUUGCCGGCUGUGGUGACCCUGCCUGGUGCUGGAGGGCAGUAUGGGAGGCACCAGUGUGCCCUGCUCACCCCAUUAGUGUCAUCCUGCCAUCUUCUGUGUCCCCUUGGCCCUGGCACACACCCAUGUGGCAAACACGGGCCGUGAGGCUCCCUGAACAGCUUCGAGGCGGGUGGGCUUCUGGAGCCCUCUUGGCUCUGAGGACAGCCACAGUGGGGUCAGACGUCAGGGAUUGGUGCAGCCCCACGUCAGGGGUGAUUGUCUUGACUUUCUCUCCAUUUGAGUUCUGGGGUGGGUGGCUCCCUUCCCCCUUGCUUACAGGUGCUGUCCUGGGCACAGGAGGUACGCGCCUGGCUCUGCCACUGUUCUCUUCCCUCUGCUGCAAAGCCCAGUUAAGGAAAUGUCUCCAGGUCCAAAGAGAUAGGAUGGUCUGGGCCCCACCUGUUGGAAGGGAACAGCCAGGGAAGAACCACCUGCCUGGGCAGGGCCUCGCCUGAGGGAGGGCCUGGGGCAGGGCACAAGGGGUUGAUCUCAGCCCACAAGCCCCAGGGGCAGCCCAGGAAAGCAGGCGACGGAUGUGGAUCCUGACCUCCUGAGAGGUGUGAGGUGCAGGGAUACCCACCUCUGCCUUGACGGCCGCGCACCCCUUAGGAAGUGGCUGUCCAGCGCCUGCCUGUGCUGGGCCUGGGAGAGGAGCUGUCUUGCCAGGGCUCCCAGGCAGGGAGAGGCAGGUGAGGUUCUCAGCCGAUGUGUUAGAGGUUGAGCAUCGCCUGUGCCCAGCUUGCUGGCUGUCAGUGCUUGAUGUGCCCAUCCUCAGCUAAAACCCAGAGCUGGCAUGUUGGUCAUCCCCACCUCAGACGGGACGCCCAGUCCAGAGCUGGUGAGCCCUGGGCCAGCCUUUGGGCCUGGCCUGCCCCAUUCACCGGCCAGCGCCCCACCUCCCUGGCUGGAGGGUCGGGGAGGGGCUGGCAGAGAUGGUUGGUCCACAGGGCUAGCCCUGGGUGGUGGGAGAGGGGCCCAGGGUCAGGGUGAGAGAGAGCUGGGCCAGGGAGCUGCUGCAGGAUGAUUUUGAGGUGUGGGGGAAGCACUCUUGGUUGGUUUUGG
rnacentral:lncRNA from 1 species